GGGACACGUGGUAUCCUGUCUGAAUAUGGGGGGACCAUCCUCCAAGGCUAAAUACUCCUGACUGACCGAUAGUGAACCAGUACCGUGAGGGAAAGGCGAAAAGAACCCCGGCGAGGGGAGUGAAAAAGAACCUGAAACCGUGUACGUACAAGCAGUGGGAGCCUCUUUAUGGGGUGACUGCGUACCUUUUGUAUAAUGGGUCAGCGACUUAUAUUCUGUAGCAAGGUUAACCGAAUAGGGGAGCCGAAGGGAAACCGAGUCUUAACUGGGCGUUAAGUUGCAGGGUAUAGACCCGAAACCCGGUGAUCUAGCCAUGGGCAGGUUGAAGGUUGGGUAACACUAACUGGAGGACCGAACCGACUAAUGUUGAAAAAUUAGCGGAUGACUUGUGGCUGGGGGUGAAAGGCCAAUCAAACCGGGAGAUAGCUGGUUCUCCCCGAAAGCUAUUUAGGUAGCGCCUCGUGAAUUCAUCUCCGGGGGUAGAGCACUGUUUCGGCAAGGGGGUCAUCCCGACUUACCAACCCGAUGCAAACUGCGAAUACCGGAGAAUGUUAUCACGGGAGACACACGGCGGGUGCUAACGUCCGUCGUGAAGAGGGAAACAACCCAGACCGCCAGCUAAGGUCCCAAAGUCAUGGUUAAGUGGGAAACGAUGUGGGAAGGCCCAGACAGCCAGGAUGUUGGCUUAGAAGCAGCCAUCAUUUAAAGAAAGCGUAAUAGCUCACUGGUCGAGUCGGCCUGCGCGGAAGAUGUAACGGGGCUAAACCAUGCACCGAAGCUGCGGCAGCGACACUGUGUGUUGUUGGGUAGGGGAGCGUUCUGUAAGCCUGUGAAGGUGUGCUGUGAGGCAUGCUGGAGGUAUCAGAAGUGCGAAUGCUGACAUAAGUAACGAUAAAGCGGGUGAAAAGCCCGCUCGCCGGAAGACCAAGGGUUCCUGUCCAACGUUAAUCGGGGCAGGGUGAGUCGACCCCUAAGGCGAGGCCGAAAGGCGUAGUCGAUGGGAAACAGGUUAAUAUUCCUGUACUUGGUGUUACUGCGAAGGGGGGACGGAGAAGGCUAUGUUGGCCGGGCGACGGUUGUCCCGGUUUAAGCGUGUAGGCUGGUUUUCCAGGCAAAUCCGGAAAAUCAAGGCUGAGGCGUGAUGACGAGGCACUACGGUGCUGAAGCAACAAAUGCCCUGCUUCCAGGAAAAGCCUCUAAGCAUCAGGUAACAUCAAAUCGUACCCCAAACCGACACAGGUGGUCAGGUAGAGAAUACCAAGGCGCUUGAGAGAACUCGGGUGAAGGAACUAGGCAAAAUGGUGCCGUAACU
rnacentral:rRNA from 1 species